AUGAGCAGUGGCGUACGGUGUCACCUUCUGUAUCAAAGUGCCGAUUGGAGAUAUACUUAUAUCAGUCUCGUAGCUAGUGGUGAUUACUACAGAUAUAAUGUAUUUGGUGACAGUCUGAAGAGCACUCAACAGUAUUCGUAUUGAUUUAAAAGCAACCACAAAGUACACACUACGCGUAGUGUGAUUCGUAGUAUUUACCGUGGCCUGUUGCAAUCGUACUACGAAUAGUCUGUUGUGAUGUUUUGUUAAAAAUUUGAUUCAGUUCUUGCUAUUUCGAUAAGUCUACUACUCGUAACGAAUUCAAAUUUAAACGCAUCUAAGCGAGAAAAUUCGAGCUUAUGAAACUAAAGAUACAUUUCGCUGAAAUACUUGAAAUUAUUGAAAAUAUAGUUGGAAAAUCAUAAGAAAAAUUUCACUAGCUUCGCGUGAUUGGGAACAGGACCGUGCACUCAAUUGAAAUUCGAAACAAUCACCAAUCAAAUGGUAUUUGCAACGAAAUAAGUUACCUGGCACCAUCCCCUCGUCCUAUUCAUUCGCAAUUGCUUAACUUAAAUAUCACAUCCACGCUCCUCGUGGUUGACCAGUAAAAUUCUAAUAUCGAUAUCGGUUCCCAACGAAUUGUGUGAAUUCCAAUCGGUUUGUUCGAUGUGAGAUAAUAUUUUCGUGGAUAAUGGAAUUGGUUUCGUUACCGCAAGUGAUGUAAUCUAGAACAGAGUCAAGAAUCUGGGAUUGCUAUUAAAACCAGCAAUUAUUCCGCAGAAUAUCAUUAUUUCUGGUGACGUUGAAUUGCAUGUGUGACAAUUAAAGUGUUUGGUGAAUUUGGAAAAAAAUUUGUUGAUGAACCUCGCCUGAUUGGGGGUGAAUUUCGAACGGUUGAGUGUUAUUGGUUAUAUGUGCCAGGACCAGUGUUAGAUUUUAUAAUAAGCUGAUCAGUCAUUUGAAUAAUAUCAACUACAAUAUUACAAAAGAUCCUUUUCCAACAUGAAGUUCAAUUUAUUCUCUCCAUCUUCCAAAAGUGAUGAGGAUAGCGACCAAAAACCUGAGGAGUUGCUGAAUCCACAGAAUGAAAAAGAAAAGGAGAAAGAUCGGGGGAAGUGUUAUUCGCGCCAGAUAACGAUUGAUGAGGAGCCAGAUUCGUUAGAAAGUAUUAUCAGUAAUCCAACGGCACUACCCAUUACAGUGGUUCGUAGCCGUCCCACUAGCCUCUAUAAAUGUUCAGUUCACGGAAAAAGUUUCAGCAGAUCCAGCAGUUGCAGAAGUCGUAACUUGCGCCCCGGGAGUGUUCGGCGAGUUCGAAAAAGAGCAAUUCUGAAGAAUGGAGAUUGCAAUGUGUUUCAAGCGAACUUAACAGGACGUCGGAUACGUUUUCUACAAGAUGUUUUCACAACUUUGGUGGACUCCCAGUGGCGAUGGACUCUCCUCGUAUUUGCUUUAGGUUUCAUACUUUCGUGGCUAGGAUUCGGUCUAAUCUGGUGGCUAAUUGUUGUGACUCAUGGUGAUUUGGAGGAGAUGCACUUACCUCAACAUCAAGCUGAAAGUGGCUGGACCCCUUGCAUUCUAAACGUCAACAGCUUCGCAUCAUGCUUCCUAUUCUCAAUUGAAACUCAGCACACAAUUGGGUAUGGUUACCGAGCGACAACUGAAGAAUGUCCUGAAGGAAUAUUUGUAAUGUGUAUUCAGUCAAUAGCGGGAGUGAUGAUUCAAGCCUUCAUGGUAGGAAUCGUUUUCGCCAAAAUGACCCGCUCCAAACAACGAACCCAGACACUGUUGUUCUCCCAAAAAGCUGUAAUUUGUCAACGCGAUGGUGAUAUGUAUUUCAUGUUCCGUGUGGGUGACAUGAGGAAAAGCCACAUCAUCGGAGCAAAUGUAAGAGCUCAACUCAUCCGUUCCAAGAGCAGCAGGGAAGGUGAAUACCUGACCACGCAUCACACCGAAUUAGAGGUGGGGACUGACAAAUGUGGGUCUGAUUUGUUUUUCAUUUGGCCGAUGACUGUCAUGCAUAAAAUUGAUGAGAACUCACCGUUGUACAAUAUGUCGGCAGCGGAUUUAUUCUACGAAAAGUUCGAAAUCGCCGUUGUCCUGGAGGGAACUGUAGAGUCGACGGGACAAACCACCCAAGCAAGAUCGAGCUAUUUGAGCAAUGAAAUCAAGUGGGGUUAUCGAUUUGAGCCAGUUGUUACUUACAGCAAGGAAAGACAGGCAUAUGAGAUUGACUAUUCGAGGUUUGAUCAAACCACUAUGGUUGAUACGCCGUUGUGCAGUGCGAAAGAGCUGUCGGGAUUGAAAAGUAAUUUAGGAACACCCGUUGAAAAAGGAUAUCAACCAUCAUGUUCAAUGUCCGAGUAAUGUCAUCCACUAAACAUUAAUUUUAUGUGUUUCUCGUUUCGAAUUUAUUUAUAAUUUAUGUUCCAUAAAUGUUAUGUCGUCAUCACGUGACCGUAAACCGUGCAUUAAGGAAGGAAUAAAACUCCUCCAGCUGUCUCAUAUUCACCAUAUUUAACAGUAAGGUCUAUGGAUGAAAUUCUACCAAGGAUCGAUGAGAAGCCUUCACUUAAAAUUCAACGCAUCGAAAGCGAUCCAUGUGGGCAACAAAU
rnacentral:misc_RNA from 1 species